rnacentral:snRNA from 1 species
AUCGCUUCUUCGGCCUUUUGGCUAAGAUCAAGUGUAGUAUCUGUUCUUAUCAGUUCUUAUCUUAGGAGUUUUUAAAGUGUGGUGUCUCCAACAUGUCGGCGGCCCAUGCUGGCAUGUCGGGGCCCAUGCUGGCAUGCGGAGGCACCACAGUGUACGCUUCACCUUUG